GAGAUUCAUAUUGAAGCACUUACGGAUCAUGAUGCCAUACUGACAACUUAUUUUCAAAAAUGCACUUUCCCAGUGGAAAGAAUUUGAUGCCAUUUCCGCACACCCAAAUUCCUGUUGGCAGGAUAAUCAGCAAGUAAUACAGAGAGCUGCUUCCUUCAACAGCUGCAUUCAGCACAAAACCGAGGGCCGAUUAUGUGGAGAAAUAUCCUUCAGAGGCUGGUGGAGGCCGCUCUGCUUCAAGCUGUGAGCCGAGUCAGGGCUGCUUCACUUGUCUCUCAUCCUCUGGACCAGUGACCACCUGGGGUGGCAACAGGGCCAGAGGACGAGCAGAGACACAAGAGGCCUCCUAAGGCCUCAGCUCAGAACUAACAAACUCGCUUCUGCCCACAUUCCAUUGGCCAAAGCCCUGCAUGAGUUGUGGAAAAGUACUCUCCACUUUGGUGAACAUUAGUAAGAGAAAAGAGGGAAGGAAGAAUUGCAGGCAAGUAAUACCAUCUACCUCGGCCUCCUAUGCAGCUUGGUGUGUACCUGCACCUAAGUUCUGGCCUGUAGGAUAUGAGGGGAAGUGAGGUGUGCAACUCCAGGACCUGCCCCUGUAAAGACUGGGCCCUGCCUUUCCCCUGCCCAUCUGCUGGGGACAUGGUAGGACUGCAGCAGUUGCCUGGCCCAGAGAUAGACGGCACAGCUAUCCUGCUGGUCCUACCUCUAGACCGCCACAUGUACCUCACUUACACUGCUUGGGUUUUGCAUCUUAAAACCCCAAUUAGCACACCAUUCAUUCAUUCAUUCCCCCAUCAACAAGUAUGUACUGAGUGUCUUUUUGCCAGGCAUUGCACUAGGUUUUGGAGAGAUGACAGUGAACAAAAACAAACUUGGCUGUUCUGUAUCUUGGCUGUGGCAGUGGUUACACAAGCCUACACAUGUGAUAAAACUGCAUAGAACUAAAUACACACACACAGAGGAAUGCCAGUCAAACUGGGAAUUAAAGAAUCAAAAAGUCACUGGUGACUCAACAUGGCAGCAGUCCAGCUCAACCAUACAGAUGACAGCAGUGUGCUGAAGUAUGACAAAGGAAUGAUUUAAAAGGAAUUGAGGCAGAGCUGCCAGGCAGGCAUGCUCACCUUGGACUUUGAAGCAAGAGAGACAUAAAUAAAGGUCUUUGUUCUGUAAGUAGAGUGUUCAUAUAAUUUAUCAUCCAAACUGAGACACCUGUGAAAAUAAUUACACUGGAACAACUUGUGUGACUGAUCAGCUGGUCACUCCAUCUUUAAGUCAUUGUCUUGUUGAGUCUGUUAUCAGAGCCCAUGGAGUGCCAUGCAUGGACAGCUUAUUUAGGCACAACAGAGAAAAAUUAAAGGGAAGGAGGAGCAAGGAAGAGUGGAAAGGAUAAAGAAAUGGUGAGCAUUGGCAGGAAACAAUGCAAGGAGAAAAGGGAACAGGAAUCGGAUUUUCUACUAAUUUGCUGUGUGUUCCUGUGUCAGUUUAUAAAUUAGUGUCUAUAUUUACAACCGAUUGGAAGAACGAACUUUUUAGAUCCUCUCAUCCAACAAAGCUGCAGAUUUCUUUAUUGAGAUGGAGUUGAGAAAGCUUUAAAACAGGCCAAAGCAACAUGAGGACAUGUGUCAUGAGAAGAGAAAUGGUCUUCCAUAAAUUGAGUGCUGGGGAAGGCUUGGUGUAGGUAAUGUAGAGGUUCUCAAACUGUGGAGAAGCUCAAAAUGUGUUCCUUUGAGCCUUGGUCUUCUAGUUAGGCCACUGUCUAAGCCACUAUACAAAAAGACACCAAACACACUGGCUUCAACAAGACAAGCCUCUGUUUCUCUUUCGGGUGACAGGAGAAGCAGAGGACUAAGCUUUCUUUUCCAAGUCAUCACCUGAAAGUUGCCCCUUCACUUCUGCUCACAUUGCAUUGGCCAGAGACUUGAAAGGAAGCUGGGCACGUGCUGUGGGGAAAAGAAAGAGAGAUCAGAUUGUUACUGUGUCUGUAUAGAAAGAAGUAGACGUAGGAGACUCCAUUCUGUUCUGUACUAAGAAAAAUUCUGCCUUGAGAUUCUGUUAAUCUGUGACCUUACCCCCAACCCU
rnacentral:lncRNA from 10 species